ensembl:snoRNA
AUCCUUUUGUAGCUCCUGAGCAUGGUGAUUGGGUGUUCAUGCUCAUGUGUGAGAUGUACCACCCUUGAACCUUGUUACAGCAUCACACAUUACCUGUCUGACA